UACGGGGGGGGGCAAGCGUUGUUCGGAAUUACUGGGCGUAAAGGGCUCGUAGGUGGCCAACUAAGUCAGACGUGAAAUCCCUCGGCUUAACCGGGGAACUGCGUCUGAUACUGGAUGGCUUGAGUUUGGGAGAGGGAUGCGGAAUUCCAGGUGUAGCGGUGAAAUGCGCAGAUAUCAGGAGGAACACCGGUGGCGAAGGCGGGUCUCUGGGCCGAUACUGACGCUGAGGAGCGAAAGCGUGGGGAGCGAACAGG
rnacentral:rRNA from 1 species